rnacentral:miRNA from 1 species
UGGAUCUCUUGUUUUCUCUUCC